CCCUGGUUAUUCAAGCUCAGUCAUUAGCACCCUGUCCCCCCACUGAAAUUAUGAAUGAAAAGCCUUGUUGUUCUUUACAAAUAACUCGGGCUUCCUCAGUCAGUCAAAUUCAAAUGGCAGUGACUGCCAGACAAAGCGCCUGUAUGAUGGACAGUCCUCUCAGCAAGCCAUCAAGGCACACAGGAAGUUUUUAAAGGCACAAUCUAGGAGCCCACCUGCCUGGAUCUGAUUUCAGCCUUGGAGCUGUCAUUUCCUGCCAUCACAUGAGGUCACUCCAUAGGAAGGAAGAUUUGCAUAUUUUUUUAAAUUUUCUUUGUAACAUGAUGGAACCAAAGAAAUCUCUCUUGUGCCAGACAGUAAGAACCUAGGUUGCUGGGACAACACGUCAACUGCAAAAAAACCUUAAAAUAAAGGUGGCAC